rnacentral:lncRNA from 1 species
AGCGCAUGCAUAGAAUCUUACUUCUUCUCUUACCUAAGCCGCGAAAAACAAAACAUGGCUACCGCCGGUAACAAGGAAAAUUUCGUCUGGUCAGACGAAGAAGUGGAAUUAUUGCUUCAGGUUGCACAGGACUACAAAGCAACGAAGGCGCAACAAGGUGUGGACUGGGAGUCCUGCCAGACCAAAUACACCGAUAUAUGGACCGCAUUCAUAGAGCAGUAUCCUACUCCCCCAGACGGCCAACUGAGAGUAACUUCAUAUCCACAUGCAACUGAUGAGAUCAUUAAAACCCAAGUUGCAUCUAAACUUAAAGCCGUUAGGAUGAAGUACAGGGGGGCCGUGGAUACGCAAUGCAAGAGUGGCCAUGGGCGAGUUAUCACACUAUUUUUUGAUUUGUGUAACGACAUAUGGGGUGGGUCGCCAGCCACCACCUCUUUGGAGAAUGGUAUUGAGACUGCCGAGGUCAACGGCGACACAGUGGACUCUUGCAGUGAAUCGACCAUAUCUGAGCAAACUGAAGAAAGCGUCAGCCCCCAGACCUCGAGUGCCCAGGCCCACUCCAGAGACGAAGAGGCCUACUUCAGGCAAGGCUCGAUGGCCAUAGAAGCGAAAGGCUCCAGAAAAAACUUUGUGUGGAUCCAGUGCAGUCCGACCUCGACAUGAAGAGGAAGAUUGUAGAUAUAAUGGAGAAGGCUGAGAGAUGCAACAGUGCGAGGCUGGACACAAUUGCAGAGGCUCAUGUCAGAAUGAGCAACAGUUCUGAUGUCCUUGUGAGACACUUAUGUCAACCUCAACUAAACCGUGCCCCACCUAUGCAGUACUACAUAGCGCCAUGAGUGCAGUGCGUGGACAGGACGCGUGGUCGGGAUUCGCCUGGCCAGGGAAAUUUUAAUUCUGAGGAUUCAGAUUAGUUGGGGUGAGAAUGUGGUGGGAUUUCCUGCAACUUUGGUCAUGCUUGGUACUGGCAGUGUCUUUGUCCUCUAUGGUCUCAGGACACAUUAACUCGUUUCUGCAUCCAGGGACAUUCAAAUGUGUUCAAGUGGUAAAUAAUAAUUGCACCAUCA